AAUGUCGCAUUAUUACCGGCACUAAGUAACAAAGAGUUCCAGGGUCACAAGCAGGCGCCUUCGCCACAUUGUCAUUCAUUUGUGAGAUGUUUCUAUUUCUCUAUGUUGGCAUGGAUGAUAUAGAGUAGUGGAAGAAUGUUAGUGAAACACAUACAGGCUUGAAGUGGCGGUCGUAACACAGUCGGUUGGGAGGACUCAAUGUCAGAGUCGAUAUUAUGGACAUUUUCCUUGUUAGAACC